rnacentral:lncRNA from 1 species
AUGCACAUGUGUGCUCUUUCGAUCUUUUUGAAGGAGGAAGUUGAGCCACAGGUGGGUCUGGUGAAAUACCUGAACCCUAGGGGCGAGCUUUUGGUUGCUCCUUUAAACAUUUCUGAACUUGCCAAAUUUUCUACAAAAGGCAGAAAUACCACAGGCCCCCUUACCCAUGGGGAAUACGUUCCAAGACCCCCAGUGGAUGCCUGAAACCAGGGAUAGUACUGAACCCUAUAUAUACUAUGUUUUUUCCUAACUAACGGGUUAAGGGGCAGGUAGUAUAUACAGUGUGGAUACACUGGCCAAAGGGAUGAUUCAUGUCCUGGGCGGGAUGGAGUGGGAUGGCGUGUGAUUUCAUCAUGCUUCUCAGAACAUCCCACAAUUUAAGACUUAUGAAUUGUUUAUUUCUGGAAUUUUCCAUUUAAUAUUUUCAGACUAUGGUUGACCACAGGUAACUGAAACCAUGCAAAGUGAAACCACAGAUAAGGGGGGGACUACCAUAUAAACAAACCACAAGCAUUAAAUCCUCCUUCUCCCGAAUUUUUGUCAAUGCCCUGGUCUCCCAUAAAUAAUGCAAACUUUGCUCAGUUCUCCAAUGUUUGGAAUAGGACCUAGGGCACACAUCUUUUCUUCAAGAGAAACAGCCAUUACAGUCUCCUAGUCUGUUUUACUUAAACAGCAAUGACACUAUGCAUUUGUCCUUGUGGACCUAACACCUGCCAUCCAGCCCCGGGCAAGGACCUCUGCCAAGCGGCUGAAGAAAAGCCCAUUUAUCAACAGAGUUUAGGCACCACCUUGAUUAAUCCGCCAGAGAGGAAGUACAAAACACAACUGUAAGAAUUCUUCUGUCUUCAGCUAAAACAGGUUUUGCCUUUAUUAGCCAGCAAGGGAUAGACGGCAAUGGGUCAGGCUUUUUGCCAAUUACUGCCAUUUUGUAGGAUAAUUCAGGAGCUGUUAGGAAGACCAAAGAAGCAAAGGAAAUGACUAUCUAUUGAGUCCUUACUACAGGCCACGUCUUGUGCUGGACACCUCACAUACAUUAUUUAAUAUAAGCCUCACAGCUAAUAAUCACUCUCUAAAAUACUACAUUUCUACUCAUUUAUCUUAUUUUUCGUCUGUCUCCCCCAUUUCGAUGUACGCCCAGGAGGAGGAACACUGUCUUGUUUAUUGCUAUAUCCUCAGUGUCUAGCAGUGUCAGAUACAUAGAAGCACUCCAUCAGUAUUUGCUGAAUGAACAAAACAGACAACUCCACAAGAUAGGUGACGUUAUUUUCCUUUUAUAGGUGAGUAAACUGAAGUGCUCCGAGGGUGCAAAUGAACGGCCCAAAGUCACAUGGUUCGUUAAGGAGCCAGAACUCACACCCCAGUCUCCCUCUUGUUCUUUCUAGAGACCAAGAGACACAGACCUAGACUUCGGUCUUGAGGAGCUCUUCCAGCUGGACACACCUAUAAUCUCUGUGCCUAGGAAACGUAUUCACUUCGCAUGCUCAUUUGGAAGUCUGAAAUUUUACCAAGGAGCUAUAUUUGGCACUGUAACGACAAACAUUUUGCUAAAGCAACAAUGAAGGACACAUUUUCCCAACAUAACAACAAUUUUAUCCAUGGAUAGACACAUCUACAUCCUUUAUCACUUUAAAAUCCCAUAAUGUGAUUCCUCUUCAGACAUAAAGAAAGAGCAUAGUAAUCCUGGACAGCAACAAAAUAACAUCCGUAAUCCUUAGAGUUUUAUCAGUUACAACAUUAAGAUGACUAACGAUCAGUGUGUGGUAUGCUCCGUGCGGAAUACCAAGACUCCCGUGGGCCUCCACGUUGCCCGAGGGUCCCAGUAUGGGGGGAGGUAGACGUGCAACACGGGAAGCCAUUCCUAUCCUAAGAAACUAUACGGAAGGCUCAAAUAUUCUUCAAGGAUCAGCUGCAAUAAAAUUCAUCUCGAGAACA